rnacentral:ncRNA from 1 species
AAUGUCAAAACUUAGUGGUAUUAUUUAGCGGAGGAAAAGAAACUAACAAGGAUUCCCUUAGUAACGGCGAGUGAAUGGGGA